CAGUCGCUUGUUGUGUGCAUU
rnacentral:siRNA from 1 species